rnacentral:rRNA from 1 species
AGUGAACGCUGGCGGUAGGCCUAACACAUGCCAGUCGAACGGCAGCACAGUAAGAGCUUGCUCUUACGGGUGGCGAGUGGCGGACGGGUGAGGAAUACAUCGGAAUCUACUUUUUCGUGGGGGAUAACGUAGGGAAACUUACGCUAAUACCGCAUACGACCUACGGGUGAAAGCAGGGGAUCUUCGGACCUUGCGCGAUUGAAUGAGCCGAUGUCGGAUUAGCUAGUUGGCGGGGUAAAGGCCCACCAAGGCGACGAUCCGUAGCUGGUCUGAGAGGAUGAUCAGCCACACUGGAACUGAGACACGGUCCAGACUCCUACGGGAGGCAGCAGUGGGGAAUAUUGGACAAUGGGCGCAAGCCUGAUCCAGCCAUACCGCGUGGGUGAAGAGGGCCUUCGGGUUGUAAAGCCCUUUUGUUGGGAAAGAAAAGCAGCAGGUUAAUACCCCGCUGUUCUGACGGUACCCAAAGAAUAAGCACCGGCUAACUUCGCG